AAUAAUAAACACCAAUCGAAAAAAGAGAAAAAAAUUCGAAUUGCUCCUGAAAUGAUCGUAAAAAAAAUCAAUGGCGGCUAUUAGUGGGGUGUGCAUGAAUGGCCGUCUAAUCAAAAGUUGGAAUCGAGUGGAAAAGCAACGAAAAAAAAUGAAAAACCAGAUCAUUCGAAAAUAAUAACAAUCGAAUAUUGAUAAUAAUUUCAUGCUAAUAAGAUACGCUACUGGUAACAUUUCACUAUUUUCAAUUUUUUUCCAUUGAUAAUCAUUGAUUUGAUUCGAUUUUUUUUCUGUAGAUUAUUAAAUGAAAUAAAUGGAAAGAGGAACAAAAUAGAUUUUUUUUCGGUUUGGUUUAUGUUUUUGUCAAUGACAAUGUGUCGGAUAGGAGUACAAGAAAGAGAUAAAUGAAAAAAAAAAUUUCAUUUGUUUACCACAAAAUCAACAUCACACAUCAAACGGCAUAAAAAUAUGUGAUGAUAAAAAAAAUAAACCUCGAUACAGAUUCGAGAGUGAACGAAUAAAUCAAAUCGAUGAUGGUAUUUAUAUUAUCAAUACGUGAAUGUUUUGUUGAUCGAUGAGCCGCAUCAGUCAGCCACGAACAACAACAAUCCAAGGUUCAAUAUCCGAUCAAAUCAAUGUCAUAGUUCAGCUUCAGCAGCAGCAGCAGCAAUGAAA